CUUCCUACGGGGGGCAGCAGUAGGGAAUCUUCCACAAUGGACGAAAGUCUGAUGGAGCAACGCCGCGUGAGUGAAGAAGGGUUUCGGCUCGUAAAGCUCUGUUGGUAGUGAAGAAAGAUAGAGGUAGUAACUGGCCUUUAUUUGACGGUAAUUACUUAGAAAGUCACGGCUAACUACGUGCCAGCAGCCGCGGUAAUACGUAGGUGGCAAGCGUUGUCCGGAUUUAUUGGGCGUAAAGCGAGUGCAGGCGGUUCAAUAAGGCUUAUGUGGAAACCUUCUGCUCAACCGGAGAAAUUCAUCAGCAA
rnacentral:rRNA from 1 species